UGUGGGGCGUAUGGCCAUUCGUAAUCUUUUUAAAUGUCAUUUCUAGUCACCAAUACUACGAAUAAAAAUGUGUUACUAGCAUUAAUAAAUUAACCUUAGCGAAACCUUCCUAGCCCCGCACGUCGCGUUAUAUAAGAUUAGCUAGAUUUGAGCGAAAAUCUGAAAUGAUGCGACGUAUCAAAAAGCUCACACCACAUAAUUAAUGUACAUUUUUAGCGCAUAUUUGCAAAUUUACUUGUAAUAAUGUAGCUUUCCAUCUCAGUUUGACCGAUUGACUGGCUCAUGGCUGGCGGGCUAGCAAAUGAGGGCCCGUAGAAGAACGCUUGAAGAAAGACGAGGAGUGAACAUGUACCUACUGGGGCCGUGUAAUUAACAACUUUAGGGACGGGGCUCCAUGAUGUGAGGUCGGCGACAUCUGGGCGCCAUCCACGACCGUGUUAUACUAACGCGGUGAUUUUUAGCACGAUAACAAACUCUAUUUUUGCCUGUGCGAAAAAAUAGUCUUUUACCACUGCCACUUAAUUGAACAUCAUAUAAUAAUAAUAUGUUUAUUUCUGUUAAUAUGCUAUAAAGAGGCAUAUGUGGAAAGUACCAAGCUUAUGACAGCAGUUAAUAACGAUUGGAAUAUAACAGUUGAACCAAGUGCUGGUGUCGAUAGUCAAAUCUGGCAUUGUCCUAAAUGUCCUAAAGCGUACACAAAAAGAGUUUCAUAUUACUUGCACGUACGGUACGAUUGUGGACCACAAGGAUUUAAGUGUUUGUAUCCAAGUUGCACUUAUACGUGUUCUAGGAAGUAUCAUUUACAGAGACACACGGCCACUGUUCAUAAAUCUUACAAUUUGUAGUCGUCAUUCUUUGUAUUGUUCUUUAUGUAAUAAAAUAAUGUUGAAAUUCUUAAGCUUAUCCUAGGAAUAAACGAUUUGUGGGUUCUUUUGAAUGAAACUGUUCCAUCUAACAAAAUUGGCGCUCGUAUCUACCUGCUGACUAAAGUCCCUAGAUUAUUAAAGCAACGCGAUUGAUUAGGCCAGUGUAUUAGACAAAAACAAGCUGCUAAUUGAGCCAAAAUGGCCGUUUGACACCUAGUGUCAGGUUUGACAUUUGUUGUUUUGUAUUAUAAUAGUUGUGUGUACAUUAAAGAAAGUACUGAUGAACCAUUAAUUCACUAGAGAAGUACAUCUAGGCACUUUUGCAAGAAAACAGAAACCGAAAAAAAAAAUUACCUACUCAGAAGUGAAGACAAUUUUUCGGAAACUUUUUAUGAAGAUACCAAUUUAAGAAUCGUCUUGAUAACAAGAAUUAGAAAAGAUUAAUUGUUAACUAAUUGUACGUUCGUAACCGAUAUUAUAUUUUAUUUUAUUUA